CAGUUGUUGUUCCCCUCCCAAGGACAAGUUCUUAUGCGUUACUCACCCGUUCGCCACUGGAAACACCACUUCCCGUUCAACUUGCAUGUGUUAAGCAUGCUGCGAGCGUUCAUCCUAAGCCAGGAUCAAACUCUCCAUGAGAUUCAUAGUUGCAUUACUUAUAACUUCCUUAUUCAUAGAUAAAGCAGAUUCAGAAUUGGCUUUCCUUCCAAGGAUAACUUGUAUCCAUGGGCUUCAGAUUAUUAGCCUGGAGUUCACCACCAGCAGUAUAGCCAACACUACCCUAUCACGUCAAUCCCACAAGCCUCUUAUCCAUUCCCAUUCGCUCGUGGCGGGGGAGUAAGUCGAAAUAGAAAAAAUUCACAUUGGGUUUAGGGAUAAUCAGGCUCGAACUGAUUACUUCCACCAUGUCAAGGUGACACUCUACCGCUGAGUUAUAUCCCUUCCCCGUCCCAUCGAGAAAGAGAAUUAAUGACUCCUGAGGCAAAGGGGCGAGAAAAUCAAGGCCACUCUUCCUCCGGGCUUUCUUUCCGCACUAUUAUGGAUAGUCAAAUAAUUGGAAAAAUUGGAUUCAAUUGUGAACUGGUCCUAUCGGAAGUAGGAUUGACUAUGGAUUCGAGACAUCGCACAUGCUUUCAUAAAAUCUGUGCAAUUUUCCCGAUCUAAAUCGAGCAGGUUUCCAUGAAGAAGAUCUUGUUCAGCAUGUUCUAUUCGAUACUGGUAGGAGAAGAACCUGACUCGGUAUUCUUAAAAAAAGAGGUGAAGCAGAGCCAGGUCAAGAUGAUAUGGGUCGCCCCUUCUUCUUGCGCCAAAGAUCUUACCAUUUUCGAAGGAACUGGAGCUACAUUUCUUUUCAAUUUGCAUUCAAGAGUUUCUAUCUGUUUCCAUGCCCUUUUCUUGAGAACUCAAAACAUGAGGAUAAAUUACUUCUCUUAGCAACACAUACAAGAAAAAGGAUAACGGUAGCCCUCCCAUUAACUACUUCAUUUUCAUUUAUGAAUUUCAUAGUAAUAGAAAUCCAUGUCUUACCGAGACAGAAUUUAGAACUUUCUAUACUCUUGCCUAAUAGGCAAAGAUUGACCUUUGUAGAAAGACUGAUUCAUUCGAAUCGAUAUGAGGACCCAACUCCGUUGCAUUGCUAGAAUCCAUGUUCCAUAUUUGUAGCGGGUUGACCUGUGUGCUUCUCUCAUGGUACAAUCCUCUUCCUGCUGAGUCCCCUUUCUCCUCGGUCCGUGGAGAGAAAAGAUGUAGGACUGGUGCCUACAGUUCAUCACGGAAGAAAGAACUCGCAGAGCCGGGAUCGGUAACUAAUAGUACUACUAAGUAAUACUAAUAUAUAGAAAUAGAUAUUUCGAAAUAGAAAUGAACUAAUAUAUAGAUAAUCUAAAUUGAAAAGAAUUGUCUUUUCUGUAUACUUUCCCUAUUCUAUUGCUACCGCGGUUCUUAUGCAAUCGAUCGGAUCAUAUAGAUAUCCUUUCAACACAACAUAGGUCAUCGAAAAGAUCUCGGACGACUCACCAAAGCACGAAAGCCUGUUAGAAAAUGGAUUCCUAUUUGAAGAGUGCCUAACCGCAUGGAUAAGCUCACAUUAACCCGUUAAUAUUGGAUCCAAUUCGGGAAUUUUCUUGGGAAGUUUCGGGAAGAAAUUGGAAUGGAAUAAUAUAGAUUUAUACAGAGGAAAAGGUUCUCUAUUGAUGCAAACGCUGUACCUAGAGGAUAUGGAUAGAGGAAGAGGGAAAAAUUGAAAUGAAAUAAAUAAAGAAUAAAGCCAAAAAAAUAAGUCGAAGAUAGAAGAGCCCAGAUUCCAAGUGAAGAAAUGGAAACUCGAAAAGGAUCCUUCUGAUUAUCAAAGAAUGAGGGGCAAAGGGAUUGAUACCGAGAAAGAUUUCUUCUUAUUAUAAGACGUGAUUUGAUCUGCAUAUGUUUGGUAAAAGACCAAUCUUCUCCUUUAAUCAUAUCAUAAAUGGAAAGUGUUCAAUUAGAACAUGAAAACGUGACGCAAUUGGUCUUAGUUAGUCUUCGGGGCAGAGUUGAAGAAGGGCGGAGACUCUCGAACGAGGAAAAGGAUCCCUUCGAAAGAAUUGACCAAGGAGUCGUAUGAGGUGAAAAUAUCAUGUACGGUUCUGUAAAGGGACAGUAAGGGUGACUUAUCUAUCAACUUUUCCACUAUCAACCCCAAAAAACCCAACUCUGCCUUACGUAAAGUUGCCAGAGUAUGAUUAACCUCUGGAUUUGAAAUCACUGCUUAUAUACCUGGUAUUAGCCAUAAUUUACAAGAACAUUCUCUAGUAUUAGUAAGAGGAGGAAGGGUUAAGGAUUUACCGAGUGUGAGAUAUUGCAUUAUUCGAGGAACCCUAGAUGUUGUCGCAGUAAAGAAUCGUCAAAAAGGGCAUUCUAGUGCGUUGUAGAUUCUCAUCCGAGACUUGUAUCAUUUGAUGAUGCCAUGUGAAUCGGUAGAAACAUGUGAAGUGUAUGGCUAACCCAAUAAUGAAAGUUUCGUAAGGGGACUGGAGCAGGCUACCAUGAGACAAAAUAUCCUCUUCUAAAGAGAUUCGAUUCGGAACUUUUAUAUGUCCAAGUUCAAUAUGGAAACUCUUUCAGAGGUAUUCUCUUACUUUGUCCGUGUCAACAAACAAUUUGAAAUACCUAAACUUUUUCAGAACAAGUCCGAGUCAAAUAGCAAUGAUUCGAAGCACUUCUUUUUCCAUUACACUAUUUCGGAAACCUAAGGACUCGAUCGUAUGGAUAUGGAAAAUACAGGAUUUCCGAUCCUAGCGGGAAAAGGAGGGAAACAGAUACUCAAUUUGAAGUGAGUAAACAUAAUUCCAUACUCGAUCUCAUAGAUCCCUAUAGAAUUCUAUGGAAAUCCGUAUUCGAUGAAAGUCGUAUGUAUGGCUUGGAGGGAGAUCUUUCCUAUCUUUCGAGAUCCACCCUACAAUAUGGGGUCAAAAAGCCAAAAAAUAAGUGAUUUUAGCCCUUAUAAAAAGAAAACAGAUUCUUGAACCUCUUUCACCCUCACGUCACGUCAAGGUACUGCAGAAAAAAGAAAUGCAAAAUCCAAUCCAAUUUUUUGUAAUCGAUUAGUUAACAUGGUGGUUAACCAUAUUAUGAAAGACGGAAAAAGUCAUUGGCUUAUCAAAUUCUCUAUCGAGCCGUGAAAAAGAUUCAACAAAAGAUAGAAACAAAUCCACUAUUGGUUUUACGUCAAGCAAUACAUAGAGUAACUCCCAAUAUAGGAGUAAAAACAAGAUGUAAUAAAAAAGGAUCGACGCUGAAAGUUCCGAUUGAAAUAGGAUCUAAACAAGGAAGAUCACUUGCCAUUCGUUGGUUAUUAGAAGCAUCCCAAAAGCGUCCGGGUCGAAAUAUGGCAUUCAAAUUAAGUUCCCAAUUAGUCGAUGCUGCCAAAGGGAGUGGGGGUUCCAUACGCAAAAAGGAAGUGACUCAUAGAAUGGCAGAGGCAAAUAGAGCUCUUGAACAUUUUUGUUAAUCCACGAACAUAAUUUAUGUAUGUAGACACAUGGAUCCGUACAUCUCGAUCGGAAAAGAAUCAAUAGAAGGAGAAUCGGUUGAUAUCUUUCUCAAAACAAACAAAAAGGAAAAGAAAGAGAAAACAGAAAUCAUGAUCAACUAAGCCCUCUCGAGGGCUUGCUUAAGAAUAAGAAAGAAGAAUCUUAUGGAAAUAGCAUGGAAUAAGGUUUGAUCCUAUUCAUGGGGAUUUCGUAAAUAUCCCAUUUCAAAAAUCGAAACAAUAGGGACUUUUCAGAGAUUGGAUGUAGUUACUAAUUCAUGAUCUGGCAUGUACAGAAUGAAAACUUCAUUCUCGAUUCUACGAGAAUUUUUAUGAAAGCGUUUCGUUUGCUUCUCUUCAAUGGAAGUUUCAUUUUCCCACAAUGUAUCCUAAUUUUUGGCCUAAUUCUUCUUCUGAUGAUCGAUUCAACCUCUGAUCAAAAAGAUAGACCUUGGUUCUAUUUCAUCGCUUCAACAAGUUUAGUAAUAAGCAUAACGGCCCUAUUGUUCCGAUGGAGAGAAGAACCUAUAAUUAGCUUUUCAGGGAAAUUUCCAAACGAACAAUUUCAACAAAAUCUUUCAAUUUCUCAUUUUAUUAUGUUCAAAUUUAUGUAUUCCUCUAUCCUUAGAGUACAUUGAAUGUACAUAAAUGGCUAUAGCAGAGUUUCUUUUAUUCGUAUUAACAGCUAUUCUAGGGGGAAAGUUUUUAUGUGGUGCUAACGAUUUAAUAACUAUCUUUGUAGCUCCAGAAUGUUUCAUUUUAUGUUCCUACCUAUUGUCUGGAUAUACCAAGAGAGAUCUACGGUCUAAUGAGGGUACUAUGAAAUAUUUACAAAUGGGUGGGGCAAGCUCUUCUAUUCUAGUUCAUGGUUUCUCAUGGCUAUAUGGUUCAUCUGGGGGGGAUCGAGCUGCAAGAAAUUGUGAACCGUCUUAUCAAUACACAAAUGUAUAACUCCCCAGGAAUUUCAAUUACACUUAUAUCCAUCACUGUAGGACUUGGGUUUAAGCUUUCCCCAGCCCCUUUUCAUCAAUGGACUCCUGACGUCUAUGAAGGAGUGUGGUUGGUUCGACAAAUUCCUACCUCUAUAUCUAUCUCUAAGGUGUUUGGGUUUUGCAAAACUCCAUAUACAUGCAGAAGAGAAAUGCUAUCCCCACUCUGACCAAGAUAGAACUUUUACCAAAAGUUUAUUGUGAUCUUUUUGUUCAAAUAACAAUUAAGGUGAAGCAGGGUCAGGAACAAUGAAUCCCUUUAUGAUAAACAAAUCCAUUUUGCAAGUUCGUUAUUACGGGUAGUUCCUACAAAGAAUCGGACUAAUGAAGUAUACAAUGCUUGUAUUAUCGAUGUAGAUGCUACAUAGUGGGUUCUCAUCCUUCAGAGACUACGAGUGUAAUAGGAGCAUCCGUUGACAAAAGUAUCACCCUAAGAUGAUCAUCUCAUGGCUAUUGGGAAUGAAUCAAAUCAGAUGGUUCUAUUUCUCAACCUGUCUGACUUGCUCCUAUCGAACCAAGGUGGAAAGGAUUAAAAAAGUGAGUCAUUCACAACCACUGAUGAAGGAUUCCUCGAAAUGUUAAGGAUUAGUAGUUCUUUUUCGAAAUCGAUUGCGAAAAAGAAUGGAUUCGAUCUUAUGCAUACGCGAGGAAGGUAAUCAAAAAAGAGAGAAGAUGAGUUCUUCUUUAUUUUAUCACUUAGGAGCCGUGCGAGAUGAAAGUCUCAUCCAUGGUUUUGCAUGAGAGAAAGAAGUGAGGAAUCCGCUUUUCGACUCUGACUCCCCUACUCCAGUCGUUGCUUUUCUUUCUGUUACUUCGAAAGUAGCUGCUUCAGCUUCAGCCACGCGAAUUCUCGAUAUUCCUUUUUAUUUCUCAUCAAACAAAUGGCAUCUUCUUCUGGAAAUCCUAGCUAUUAUUAGCAUGAUUUUGGGUAAUCUCCUUGCUAUUACUCAAACAAGCAUGAAACGUAUGCUUGCAUAUUCGUCCAUAGGGCAAAUCGAAUAUGUAAUUGUUGGAAUAAUUGUUGGAGACUCAAAUGAUGGAUAUGCAAGCAUGAUAACUUAUAUGUUGUUCUAUAUCUUCAUGAAUCUAGGAACUUCUUCUUGCAUUGUAUUAUUUGGUCUACGUACCGAAACUGAUAACAUUCGAGACUAUGCAGGAUUAUACACGAAAGACCUUUUUUGGCUCUCUCUUUAGCCCUAUGUCUCUUAUCCCUAGGAGGCCUUCCUCCACUAGCAGGUUUCUUCAGAAAACUCUAUCUAUUCUGUGUGGAUGGCAAGCAGGCCUAUAUUUCUUGGUUUCAAUAGGACUCCUUACGAGCGUUCUUUCUAUCUACUAUUAUCUAAAAAUAAUCAAGUUAUUAAUGACUGGACGAAACCAAGAAAUAACCCCCUAUGUGCGAAAUGAUAGAAGAUCCCCUUUAAGAUCAAAAAAUUCCAUCAAAUUGAGUAUGCCUGUAUGUGUGAUAGCAUCUAUUAUACUAGGAAUAUCAGUGAACCCAAUUCUUGCAAUUGCUCAGGAUACCCUCUUUUAGCUGCUAGGUCUAUUUCUUAGUUGAAGAUCCCUCUUACUAACUAGAAUAAAAGAAUUAGUAGAUCUGUUCCACCCAAAAUGGGAAUGGGCGCUAGGGUUAUGAACUUAUAAUCAUGGAAUCGACUCGAUCAUCAAAUUAAAAGUUCAUUCCAUACCGAACCAGACCGUGCACAUUCUUAUUAUGAGAAGGGGUCAUUCGAGCCUAUGGAAAUAGGAUACUCUAUUUACAUAGAAAUCCGUACGUCCUUACAUUAUAUUUAGGAUUAGGAAUAGGUGUAAUCAGACCUGCUUUUGACAUAUCUAUCCUAUUCUUAUUUGGGUACCAUAUGCACCUCUUUGGGCUUCUAUUGCAUUGAGAAAUUGAAUUGUACAUCUUUCAUCUUUUUGAUUUUGAUAUCAAUUUUGAUACAUAUAAGGUGUCCUACGGAUAAUGCAACUCGAAGCUAUUUGAUGUCUGACUCAGGCCUAUAUGACCGAUCGAUUGAAAUACUCCAAGACUCCACCUUUGUCAUGUAUUCCAUAUAUCACAUUAGAUAGAUAUCAUAUUCAUGGAAUAAGAUUCACUUUCAAGAUGCCUUGAUAGUGAAAUGGUAGACAGGCGAGACUCAAAAUCUCGUGCUGAAGAGCGUGGAGGUUCGAGUCCUCUUCAAGGCAUAAUAUGGAGAAUGCUCAUUCAAUGAGCAUUCCCCGCAGAAGUAUUCCGGAAAUCUGGGCAUGCGCUCAUAGGAUACUCUAUCUUCUGAGGUCCUUAACCAUCUCCCUGAGAAAAGUAGACAGUAAAAUCCAAAAUAGACUAAAUAUAUAUACCCUGAACGAUCCUAAAAAUCCCUCGAAGGAGAUAAUAAAGAACCAAAGUAGAUGGUAUCCUACUGCAAGGGUGGUCUUGAGAAUCCAAAAGAGGUUGCUCAGAAGAGAUAGAUGUAUCCCAACCUCUAUUGCUCUCGCGUAAAGACUUUUUUUAUGCGACAGGAAAAAGUGACUAUGAUUCCCCUUUUUGUUUGUGAAUCCAUGUUUGUAUCCUUUGAGCGCACGCCCAUUAAGUAGCGAUCAAGGAAAUCGAUCAAAUCGUAAACAUAGUUCGGUUUUCCGCAAUUUUUUUCAUUCCUCUGUGUAAAUAGCCUAAUAUGGGUUCAUAAUCAAUAACAUCCUCACCAUCAAGAGUAACGAUCAGUCGAAGAAGACCAUGCAUUGAUGGGUGUUGAGGGCCCAUAUUGACUAUCAUGAGAUCUUUUCUUGUAAGCGGUAGACUCAUAUCCUUUCUUCCUUAAUUCAUUAUUCCAUGAAAAUGGAUUAUUCCAUGAAUUCCUCAAAGUGAGGCUCAUCAAAAUGAAAAAUCUAAGACUACUAUAAGACUACUAAAAAAAUAAUAAAACGUGAAAAAAAUUGAACGAUAAAAUUACUGCAACCGAAUAUUCAACUGACCGAUUAAUUUCUUAUAAUGUACUCUAUUUUUCUUUGCCAAAUAAGCCAGCAAAAGUCGACGUUUUCCCAAAAGUCUUCGUAGACCUCUUUCCAAUGAAAAAUCUUUUUUGUGUAAUUCCAAAUGUGAAGCAAGUCUUCGUAUCUUAUUGGUGAAACUGAAUACCUGAAAUUCAACAGAACCCCUAUUUUCUUCUUUUUCUUCUUUAACCAUAAAUAAGAAAAAAUUCUACUCAUUUAUUUUUCAUGUAUUAUUCUAAUCAGGAAAAAUACAAAAUUAUGUCAGUUAUUUUGAAGUUAUUCUAAUCUCGUACACACACAAAUUUGCAAUUAUUCAUCUACUACUGGAAUUUGGAUUUAUUUUAUCGAUGCAAAUUGGAUUUGGAUAGAGGGGUACAUUCUUUCUAAUAUUUUAGAUAGAAGAAACAUUUCUUCUAUCUAAAAUAUUAGAAAGAAUUUUGCUAAUUUAUUUAUUGCUAUAUGCAAUUUAUGGAAUUGAUACACCAUUUAAUUGAUAUCAUUUAGCAAAAUGAAACACAGCAUAUGCAUCCAUCUUUUGGCUCGAGAAUUUCACGGGAUAGAGAUAUGGUAUAAGAAAUAGACUAUUAAGUAACUAUAAAUGAAUUGUGGAUACAUUUGUAUCCUUAACAUACUGAAACAAUUGUCAUUAUUCGUAUCAAACCAAUAGCGAUUCAUACAAGUUUAAUCUUCUAAUCAAUGGUGGGCCAAUAAUGAAUUUUUUUGCAUAUGUAUUAAGACGCUUGGCCUGAUUUCGAAAUUGUCCAGAGUUGUAUCUGUUGUUUUCAUUGCAAAAUGAUGGGUCUCCUUCCAGAACUUUCCAAUUAUGAGUACGAGAAUUGAAAGACAUGAAAAUUCUCAAUUCUCUACGACGUCUAGUAGAUAGAAACAAGAAAAUCAGAAGAAUCUAUCUCUCUAUUCACUAUCAUUCCGCGUCUUCGACUUCUAUUAGUCUAUUUUCUUCUUUAAUGCAAUAGCUAUAGUUUGAUAUAAGAAUCCAUUUCUCAAAGUAAUGGAAACCAUUCUCUUAUAGGAAAUUGUUCGAAAAUCGCUAUUCCACCUUUUAGGUAUCGUGAAAAGUGAUACCUGUGAAGAUCGUGCAUUUCAGUCAAAUUUAGAUGCGUUUUUCGAGUCCAUGAUAUAAUAUAACCAAAUUGGAUAGACCUUUCACCUAUUUAGCUAAGAAAGAAUAGAUACUGAGGUGGAGAAUAGAUCAAUAUGAAGAUCAUGAGCUGUCCCAUAAUGAAAUUGCCAGUAGUCGCGAAUAUCUCCUUCUUCCCUAAUCCAAGAUUGGAGAAAGAAGAUCUAAGAGGGACCUAUGGAGAAUGUAGUUAGAAAUCCAUAAUAGAGUUCGACCACAACGACCAAAUUAAUUAUCCUCAUCGAGAAAAAUAGACUACUCAAUAGAAAAGAUUUGAAAAUCAUGGCAUUGGUCUCCUUUUUUUCUUUCUUUAGAGUUUUCUAUAUGCACAAUUUCUCGAUGUUUCGAUGAGAAUUUCUUGACUUUCCAUAUAUAAAAGAGAUAGACUAUAAAUGACAUCUCUUAUGUCAAUAAGACCAAAGGGAUGGAUAUUAAAUGAUAGGAAGUGCUAGGAAGUGAAAUAGAAUGAAAUAGAGCCACUUUGGGCUUCCCUGUGAAAUGAGGCAUGGAACGGAGCCACUACAAAGAAAUUAUGGGAGUUACGAAAGAAGCUUCGGACUCAUAUUGUUCAUGGGUUGAGAGCGGGAGUUGAACUUUAGGAGGUCGAAUCUCCCCUCUUUCCUCAGUAGCUCAAUGGUAGAGCGGUCGGUUGUUAACUGACUGGUCAUAGGUUCGAAUCCUACUUGGGGAGAUUUUAUUCAUUCUUUAAUGUAAGAAUUUUAAUGUAAGAAUAAAGAAUUGAAAUAAAGGGCUUACUUUGACCCUUAGGAGUAGGUAACCCGUUCGCUAUCCUUGUUUCUAUUUCUAUUGCAUUCUAUCUCACUGUAUCACAUUCUGUUCUACGAUUCCACUUCGACAAAAGGAAAGAGCACACCUAAGUUCAAUAGCUUUACGUCCGCUAUCCCGAUCAUGAUUUUCCUACCCUCAGGGGGAAAGUAAAGGCCCUUCCCCCUUUGGAAGGCUGUGGGCGACGAGGGAUUCGAACCCCUGACAUCGUGGUUCGUAGCCACGUGCUCUAAUCCUCUGAGCUAUAGACCCAGCUGUCUCCGCUGGAUCUCUUCCCGGGGGUACCCCUUCAUUUCUGGUUAAGAAGAUGGGAAGCGCCUAUCUCUCUAUAAGAACAGUGCGUUCCGAGGUGUGAAGUGGGAGAGAGGGGAUGUGAUGAUUGAGGUUUUGAAUAGGACGACCUUUGCAUUUUAAAUUUGGAUCUUUUUCUUAUUUCAAAAUAGUGAAAAAGUCAAAUAAGAGGUGUUAAGACUUUUAUCAUUCUGGCAUCGAGCUAUUUUGCCGCAGGACCUCCCCUAUAGUAUCGUCACUGCAGUAGAGUGUAACCACCAAAUUCGGGAUGGAUUGGUGUGGUUCCUCUAUGCCUAGGACACCAGAAUAUCGACCCAUGAAUGAGGAAAGGCAUGACAUAAAUAUUGGCUAGUAAUUGUGAAGCCCCAAUUCUUUACUGAAAGGGACACCAAAGGCCUCUGCCCUCCCUCUCUAUCUAUCCAAGAGAUGGAAGGGCAGAGCUUUUUUUUGUUUUUUCAUCUUUUCAUCAAAGAGUUGAACAAUGAAGAUAGAUGGCAAGUGCCUGAUCGUUUUGAUCAGGCCGUGUAGGAACAAGGUUCAAAUCGCUCAUUAAUUAGGAUGCCUCAGCUGCAUACAUCACUGCACUUCCACUUGACACCUAUUUAAAUGGCUCGUCUCAACGCUAACUCAUCCUAUUUCCAUACUUCUGUCGCUCCAUCCUCGUAUGGGUGGAGAACCCGUCAUUGUCUCGGCUGUGAUACCGGAGGCUCUAGGGAAAUCGGAGGAGAGAGCACUCAUCUUGGGGUGGGCUUACUACUUAUAUGCUUUCAGCAGUUAUCCUCUUCGCACUUAGCUACCCCGCGUUUACCGUAGGCACGAUAACUGGUACACCAGAGGUGCGUCCUUCCCGGUCCUCUCGUACUAGGGAAAGGUCCUCUCAAUGCUCUAACACCCACAUCGGAUAUGGACCGAACUGUCUCACGGCGUUCUGACCCCAGCUCACGUACGCAUUAAUGGGCGAACAACCCAACCCUUGGAACCACCUAUAGCUCUAGGUGGCGAAGAGUCGACAUUGAGGUGCCAAACCUUCCUGUCGAUGUGGACUCUUGGGGAAGAUCAGCCUGUUAUCCCUAGAGUAACUUUUAUCCGUUGAGCAACGACCCUUCCACUCAGCACUGUCGGAUCACUCAGGCCGAUUUUCGUCUCUUCUCGACGGGUGAGUCUUGCAGUCAAGCUCCCUUCUGCCUUUGCACUCAAGGACCAAUGUCCGUCUGGCCCAAGGAAACCUUUGCACACCUCCAUUACCUUUUGGGAGGCCUACGCCCCAUAGAAACUAUCAACCUGAGACUGUCCCUUGGCCCGCGGGUCUGACACAAGGUUAGAAUCUAAGCUCUUCCAGAGUGGUAUCUCGCUGAUGGCUCGGCCCCCCCCGAAAGGGGGCCUUCUUCGCCUUCCACCUAAGCUGCGCAGGAAAGGCCCAAAGCCAAUCCCAGGGAACAGUAAAGCUUCAUAGGGUCUUUCUGUCCAGGUGCAGGUAGUCUGCAUCUUCACAGACAUGUGUAUUUCACCGAGCCUCUCUCCGAGACAGUGCACAGAUCGUUACACCUUUCGUGCGGGUCAGAACUUACCCGACAAAGAAUUUCGCUACCUUAGGACCAUUAUAGUUACGACCUCCAUUCAUUGGGGCUUUGGUCGCCGGCUUCCCUGUCAUUAGUUCACCAACUUCCUUGACCUUCCGGCACUGGGCAGGCGUCAGCCCCCAUACAUGGUCUUACGACUUUGCGGAGACCUGUGUUUUGGUAAACAGUCUCCCGGUCCUAGUCAUUGCGGCCCCCUUUUGUGAGGAGGCAACCCUUCUCCCGAAGUUACGGGGUUAUUUUGCCAACCAUCAGGAGAAGCAAAUACAAGGGGUACACUAAUUACUAAGACUUAGGAAGUCACAAUUAAUGCAAAAAUAGCUAAUUGGAAAGCAAUAGACAUAUUUCUAAUCCUCCAAGCUACCAUCAAAUAAAGUUGACUACAUAUUUGAUCCCUCACUGAACCAAAAUUAUAAAAAAAUACAAGAAGUAGGAGGGGUUUAAUCAUGAAUCCAUUUAUUCUUCUCUUUAAUUCAAAUUUAUUACUUAAACCGCUUUUUAUUUGGAUAUGGGGGUGAGAAGAAAUUAUUUACUCUUUAUUUCACAAGCGGGUAUAGCGGAUCCUGUAUCCGUUUAUACAGUAUACAGAGAUAUAUCGAAAAGGAACUUGAAUCUGAUAUCUUUCUAGAGGCUAAUAAAUCUUUUAUUUUUUAUAUGGCUAUGUUCUAUUUGUAGGAGUAUAAUAAGGAUUAGGUUGUGCAGAGAUGGCUUAGUGGUUGAUAGCUCCGGCUUGAAAACCGGUAUAGUUCAAGGAACUAUCGAGGGUUCGAAUCCUUUUGCUUAUUGAAUACGUUUGUUUCUUUCAUUUUUUGUCCCUUAUCUUUCUUUCAUAAAAAGGAAUGAAUGGCUCGGCUAGAUGGAAUAACCUAGCCAAAACAUAAAAAAGUAGAACAGGUAUAAAUAAGAAAAUCUUAAUUAAGAGGGUUCAUGUAAAGAAUAGGUUCCAAAUCACGGUCGAUUCCCUUUUCAAAACCUGUUGUAGCAGCUCGGGCUCUUCCUGCAUGCCUUAAAUGGCCCACAAAAAAGAAGAAUCUUAGAACAAAAUGAGAAGUUGAUAACCAACUUCUAGGAGACACAUAAUUAACUUCAUUGAUCUCGGUAGCUAUGCCACCCACGGAAUUUAAAUAGCCUAAAGGAGCAUGGGUCAUAUAUUCCGCUGAGCGUCAUUCUUGCCAAGGUUGUAUGUCUUUUUUCAACCUACUCAAGUCCAAACCAUUGGGGCCUGAGGGAGUCCUAGAUUAGGGGGUAUCCGGAGAACCAGACUAUAUACAUCGUUCGGACUAUUGAAGCGUGAAGAUACAAGACACAAGACUCUGGCCCGUGUCCGGAUGGGACUCUCCUUCGCAUGGAAGACAAGCUUGGCGAUCCGGAUAUUAUAUUUCCUUCCUUGUAACUGACUCCAUGUAAACCCUAGCCCUCUCCGAUGUCUAUAUAAACUGGAGAGGAUGGUCCUUAGAAGGCCGAUCACAAUUACAAUCAUACCAUCAUAGGCUAGCUCUUAGGGUUUAGCCUCUACGAUCUCGUGGUAGAUCUACUCUUGUAAUACUCAUAUCUUCAAUAUUAAUCAAGCAGGAAGUAGGGUUUUACCUCCAUCGAGAGGGCCCGAACCUGGGUAAACAUUGUGUCCCUUGCUUCCUGUUACCAUCAGCCUAAGACGCACAGAUCAGGACCCCCUACCCGAGAUCCGCCGGUUUUGACACCGACAUUGGUGCUUUCAUUGAGAGUUCCUCUCUGUCUUCGCUGCAAGGCUUGAUGGCUCGUCUCAUUUUCAAGGACGACAUCAUCUCUAUAGGAACGCUGGCUGUAGGCCAGAUUCUUCGACUUGGCGGCUUCAUUAUGGCCGCCCCAUUGGCUGUCGCGCCAACGAUGGCCUCUCGGGUCAUCACACAUAACCUUCGCAUCAAUUUGGAGCUGGCCGAACAGAUGGAUCCGAUAGAGCUCACCUCUCUUAACGGUCUCUUGGAUCGCAUUGCCGCUUUGGGAGUCACUACGGACUAUGACCAGCUUGGGCAUAAACCCGACCAGAGGGACAUUAGAUCCCCGCUGGUCACCCAUGAGAUAGCGGUAGUGGAGGAACCACACACGGGCCGCCCCUCAACUUUGAGGACGAAUUAUGUCUGGAUCACCGAACUCAGUAAACCGAACACCUAUUCGAAGGAAGACAUGACCCAAGUCCCGGGCAUAGAAUCGGGCAUCGGGCCGAAGAGAUCGGGUGAUGCUCCGGACCCCGAACUGUCGGGCUCGAAACCUUCCGUGCCCCCGGGUGUCAGAUCAGAUCAAAAUCCGGACUCAGCCAACGACCCUCGCUCGGACUUAAACUGUCACUUCCACAUCAAGCAAGAGCCCCUAGAGACGGUACACCAUUACUGGGCGAGGUUCCUCCUUGCACUUAACAAGGUCGAGGACUGCCACAAGGAGGAUGUAGUCUCACUUUUCUGCAAAAACUGCAUGAACAAGGACUCCUUAAUGCUAUAAGUCGCCGUGACCUAGUACACUUUGAGGACUUAGCAACCAUAGUACAUAAGUAUUGUGCGAUGGAAAGUGCCUGGAAGACACAAACCGAAUUUUUGGAUAGUAUGACCCUCACCAGAACCUUUGUCCGAACUAAACGGCCAAACUCUCGUAAGUCGACUGAUUCAAUUCCCAAGAAACCAAAGCCCGCCCCAAGGCGUGGAACCGUAUUGGAAGGAUGGCUCAAUGGGCCAUGUAAGCUUCACAGUACGCCGAAUGCAACACCAACCCAUAGCCUUAGGGCAUGUUGGAUACUCCGGCAGGUAGCUAAAAGUGGCGAGGAUCUCCUUGAGAGCCAUAAAGCAGAACAACAUCCCGCCAAGGAACACAAUACGGUACUAACAGUCUUUGAGACUUUCGCCUCAAACAAUAGGCGCAAGCGAGCUCAUCGAAGCUCUGCUGAAAUCUUCCAUGUGGCAAAACUAAAUUUGUGGAACGACACUGCUAUAACUUUCAACACCAAUGAUGAACCCAAAUUCCAGACCAUCCGGGCGCCAGCUGCUCUGGUCCUUAGCCCAAUAGUGGAUGGCUUUUGGCUCACUAAAGUACUCAUGGACGGCGGAAGCGGAUUAAACUUGAUCUAUGAAGAAACGCUCAAGAAGAUGGAAAUCGAUAAAAGCCGCAUUGGACAGAGCGGCACAACCUUCAGGGGAAUUAUCCCAGUCGGGAGGCACAGUGUGCGGGAAAAAUCACACUCGAUGUGGUAUUCGGCACCCCAGAGAAUUACAGGUCCGAAGAAAUCACAUUCCAAGUGCCUCCUUUCAGCAGCGGAUACCAUGCCCUUCUAGGGCGGAACGCGUUUGCUAGCUUUCAAGCUAUACCUCAUUAUGGGUACAUGAAGCUUAAAAUGCCCGGACCCAAUGGAAUCAUCACUCUAGCUAGUGAUCCGGAUGUCGCACUCCGCACCAAAAACAAAACCGCAGCACUAACCUUGGAAGCACUAUCCGAAGCCCUAGCAGCUGAAGAAUUAACAACGCUGCGCGCCACCAUGGAUAGGGACAACGUGAUACUGGACAAACGACCCAAGUCCACCUCAUUUAAACCCGCAGAUGAGAUAGUCAAAUUCCAAGUCCACCCAAUGGACCCCACGAAGACAGCUUCCAUCGGGACGCAGUUGAGCCCCGCUGUGGACGCCGCACUGCGAGACUUCUUACGCAAGAAUUGGGACAUUUUCGCUUGGCACCCAUCGGACAUGCCGGGCAUCCCGCGUGAAUUGGCCGAACACAGCCUUAACAUACUAAAGGGAUACAAACCUGUCAAACAGACCCUAAGGCGAUUUUCAGAGCCCAAAUGGCAAGCCAUGGGGGAGGAGCUAGCCAAGCUACUUGAGGCCGGAUUCAUCAGAGAUAUCAAACAUCCGGAUUGGCUGGCAAACUUGGUAAUGGUACCAAAGAAGGACAAAUCCUGGCGCCUACGCGUCAACUUCAAAGACCUUAACAAGGCUUGCCCCAAGGAUCCCUUUCCCCUCCCUCGCAUCGAUCAAAUCAUCGAUGCCACAGCAGGACACGACUCGCUGUGUUUCCUCGACGCAUACUCUGGAUACCAUCAAAUAAAGAUGGCAGAGUCCGACCAAGCUGCAACAGCUUUCAUAACGCCAUAUGGCCCUUUCUGCUUCAAAACUAUGCCUUUUGGGCUUAAGAAUGCCGGCGCAACCUACCAACGCAUGAUUCAAACAUGCCUGGAAAAGCAAAUCGACAAAACAGUGGAGGCAUACGUGGAUGACGUAGUCAUAAAAACAAGACACGUCGAAACCCUAAUAGAUGACUUGAGGCUUACGUUCGACAACCUAUGAACAUACGACAUCAAGCUGAAUCCGGAGAAAUGUGUUUUCAGCGUCCCCUCUGGAAAACUGCUGGGCUUCAUCGUUUCCAAUAGAGGAAUUGAAGCUAAUCCGACAAAAAUCCGAGCUUUGUAGCAGUUGGCUAUACCAACAGACCUCAAACACAUCCAGAAACUAGCUGGAUCCGUGGCUGCUUUGAGCCGCUUUAUCUCCAGGUUAGGAGAAAAGGCAUUGCCUCUUUAUCGCCUUCUUCGGUGCACCGAACACUCUGUGUGGACAGAUGCAGCCGCGGCCGGACUCGAUGAAAUAAAGACCUUAUUGGCCAGUAAUCCAGUCCUAACAGCGCCAAAUAUCGACGAACCUAUGCUGCUGUACACAGCUACAACACAUCAAGUUGUAAGCGCAGUACUCGUCGUCGAACGAGAGGUUAACGGAUACAAAUUCUCGCUACAGAAGCCGGUUUAUUAUGUAUCCACGGUCCUCACCCCAUGCAAAUCCCGAUACCCACACUAUCAAAAAAUAGCAUACGCAGUCUUCAUGUCAUCCCGAAAGCUACGACACUACUUUCAAGAGUGUUCGAUUAUGGUGGCCUCUGAAGUAACACUAAACGAUAUAAUAAAUAACGGCGAUGCCACGGGCCGGAUUGCUAAAUGGGCCAUCGAGCUCAUUCCGUUCGACAUAACAUACACGCCUCGACGGGCUAUCAAGUCGCAAGUACUAGCUGACUUCGUCGCCGAAUGGAUGGAAGCCGAACUCCCUAAAGAGUAUGGCGCGUACUCUGACUGGAUCAUGCACUUCGACGGCUCUAAAAUGCUGGCCGGAUUGGGAGCACGUGUAGUCCUCACGUGUCCCACCGGAGACACGGUCCAAUACGUCCUCCAAAUAUUAUACACAGACUCCAACAAUGCAGCCGAAUAUGAGGCUCUGUUGCACAGUCUUCGGAUGGCAGUUUCUAUGGGCAUUCAAUGCCUAGAGGUGCGUGGGGAUUCAAACCUUGCAAUAUCACAAAUAAACGGAGACUUUGGUGCCAAGGAUCCGAAAAUGGCGGCCUACCAUAAUGCCGUCCUUAAAAUGUCAGCUCGGUUCAAGGGGCUCGAAUUUCACCACGUGGCUCGAGAAAACAAUCAAGCGGCAGAUGUCCUUGCCCGCAUCGGCGCGAAACGCGACCCUGUCCCACCUAACAUAUUCCUAGAAAGGAUUUUCAAGCCAUCCAUGAUAUGGGAAGGGGAGUCCGACAAUACCAUCACGGAUCCAAAUACAUCCCCAGAUUCCGAACUAUCAGACAUAAUCGGAGGUUCUACCACCGAAAUAACAUCGUCAGCCCACGAAAUAAUGGUUGUCAUCGCCCCGUGGACUGGGCCUUUCUUGGCCUACCUAAAUAGGCAGGAGCUCCCCGAAGACCAAAAUGAAGCACGCUGCAUCGUCCGGCGUUCUAAAGCUUACAAAGUCCAUGAAGGGGAACUCUAUAAGAAAAGUGCGACCGGAGUGCUUCAAAGGUUCAUCUCCGAAGAGGAAGGGCGGCGGCUCUUGUCUGAAAUACAUGCCGGACUGGGCGGGCACCACGCCACGGCUCCAGCACUAGUCAGCAAGGCCUUCCAUACAGGUUUCUAUUGGCCGACGGCCCGAGCAGACGCACAGGACCUUGUCCAACACUGCGUCGGUUGCCAGCUCUUUGCCAAUCAGAGUCAUAUGCCCCCUACCGCUCUCCAAACAAUCCCCAUAACUUGGCCCUUCAUGGUCUGGGGGCUGGAUAUAGUUGGACCCCUUAAAGGGGGAAGCCACAAGAAAAAAAUACUUAUUGGUCAUGGUAGAUAAGUUCACCAAAUGGAUAGAAGCCAAACCAGUGAAAACGGCCGAAUCCGGACCAGUAAUAGACUUUAUAUCCGGGGUCGUACACCGAUACGGUGUCCCCCACAGCAUCAUCACCGAUAAUGGCUCAAAUUUCACGGCCGAUGAGGUGAAAUCUUGGUGUGGCAAAAUGGGCAUUAAGCUCGACUAUGCUUCCGUCUACCACCCUCAAACAAAUGGCCAGGUCGAACAGGCAAACGGUCUCAUCAUGAGCGGCAUCAAACCCAGACUAGUGCGAUCCUUGACAGAGUCGGAUAAUCAUUGGGUCGAGGAGCUCGACUCUGUACUCUGGGGGCUGCGGACCACGCCGAAUCGCACCACCGGAUAUACACCAUUUUUUAUGGUGUACGGUGCGGAAGCAGUACUACCUUGCGACAUAAUACAUAAUUAGCCACGCGUAGGCAUGUACGAAGAGAAGGAAGCCGAGUUAGAUCGGCAGGAUAACUUGGGCGCCCUAGAGGAGGAGCGCGAUGUUGCUAAGGCCCAUUUCGCAUUCUAUCAGCAAUAGGCUCGACGAUACCAAAGCAGAGAAGUGCGGGCCAAAACUUAUAAUAUUGGCAAGCUCGUUCUACCCUUACCGGAGAAGAAGAAGGACAAGCUCACCAAGUGGGAAGGACCCUUCAUCAUCGACAAAGUUCUCACCGGAGGAGCGUACCGCUUACAUAAUGCGUCCGACAACAGACUCGAGCCAAACCCAUGGAACGCGGCCAGACUCCAAAGAUUCUACGCCUAGCGCCGAACUCAGUGUUCGUCUCCUUACCCCCUCCUUUUUAAAUUAUGCUCCCUCCCUCUUCCUUUAUCGAUCUUUUUCCUUUCUCACACAGUAUUUAAUACAGUACGGACUUCCGGACUACUCCGGCCGCACUAUGUGUGUAAGCUCUACCUGGGGGCUGCCUAUACGGAAGCUAAAUAUAAAUUACUCUCAGGGCUUUUUGCCCAUCACACAUGAGUUUCUUUUUCCAUGUGUGCCUUUUCUUCACCAUUAUAUGCAUCGAUAUGACUUAAGACGUGGCCAAGCUGGGUUGCCUGGCUCCUGUGUUUAUGCCCUACAUUCCUGUUAAUUCGGCUAGGGCAUAAGGGGAGCACCUCUGCGAUUGUUACUGCCGAUUGAGCCGGAUGUGUACCUCAGACUGGGAAAAGCCAAAAGCUAGUUUCCUUAAGAGAAUAUUCGGUCAGUGAACAAAAGAUGUCUUUGUUUAUCACAACAUUAAUCCCCAGAAGUUUUGUAUCCUGCGCUAUGGUUCGUAGUCCGGACAUGUGCCUUGACACAUGCUUACCCAGGGAAAGGAACCCUUAACGGAACUAUUCUCCUUGGAAGAUGUUUCUUACUAUCCAUGUAAUAUAACAUAACUAGUUGGGUACUUGUCUGUUCAAGCACUUAUGACCCCUACGCCUGGUUUCCACGCAUACUCCGGUUUUGUAUAACCGAGCGGGUAUUCAGACACACCCCGGACUGUAGGAUCCGGGGGCUGAAGCGAAAAGGUCCGCCAUGACAAAUGAUUUUAAUCCGGCUAGGGGCUACUUAUGUCCAUUGAAUUACACAGUCACUUGGACUGACUAUAUUCCUCCUCUAUACCAUCCAACAGGCUAUCUAUCUUACAAUCUUGUUGAGAAUACUUCGCGGCUAACGCAACCUGGUCAUAUACCAGACUCACGGGAAUUUCUUGCCCAUCUGGCCCCGUCGGUCCAACUUCUGCCAUAUGGUUCGGGUCCAGCUUGGUGUAGCGCGUCGUCACCAUAGCCCAUGCUUCCCUUGCACCCUGCCGGCAGGCUGACAUCUUCCACAGUCGGAAGCACCGCCGUGCCCCUUGAAGCAUGUCCACAAGAUCUCCCAUGCCAUUUGGCAGGAGGCUUGACAGCCACAAGGCCUGCGCUACGCCCUGCAUCGCCUGCCGAGCUUGCUCGUGCAGCUGUGAGAGGUCUUUCAGUAAAUCUCCUGCAGAUGCAGGCAUCUCCUCCUCAGGGCGACCCGUCAGCAUGCCUACAAGCAAAACUCUUUCAAUGUACUUCCUCGCCAAACUAUGCUACAGUUCGUCUAGGCACCUACCAUAAAUGCCACGGUGGAGCCUUUUGUUCUCAUUCACGGAGUCCGCCAGCUGUGCACGGAUGUCCUUUAAUUCCACUUCCAGCCGAACAUUGGCAUCUUGGAGAGUAUUCUUCUCCUGUUUAACUUGCGUAAGAAUGCGCUCGCCGGCCUUUAGUUGCCUCUGGAAAUGCGACUCGUCAUCCCUCCCGCCCUCCGGAUUUACUCUGGGGUUAUCUACAGAAUUUUCUGUUAAAUUUGUCAUACCAACCAGUUGCUAACUGGUGCAUUUUCAUAUAAUCAAGAUAAAUGUUACCAUAUGAGGCCUUCUGGGAUUCCUCUAGCUUGUCAACUGUGGCCCUCAGUUGGGUCUUGCACUCCUCUAGCUCCCAAGACAAUUGCUCAUUCUUAUCUACAAGAACCUGCACAUAAAUUGAUACUUAAAACUGUUGUUUCAACCGUUUGAAGUCUGAGGGGCUACUGCUAUACAUGCUCAUCAAACUUUCUUCCCCGUAUAUCUUUGGUAUACUGGACUGUCUCCCGGGCAAGUCCGGUUUGAGCAGCUCGGAUGUAUGCGUCUCCCGAAUUGAAAGCAUUAAAUGCCUCUUUGGAAAAGAUGUUGUUGCGAAGCACAGCCCAUCGAUGCCGGUGAUUCAUGGCGCUCUCUACUUCGGAAUUUAUGGCAGAGAGCAUAUAUGCGUCGUCUGUCGGAGGACUAUGCGGCAUUGGCCCUACAUCCGCCUCCUCUCUCGAAGUCGGUUCUGGAGCCCGACUGGUGGAGGCGUGGUUGGCAGGAUCCCCGGAUACAGUCCGGAUACCCCUCUUCCUUCCAGGAUGUAAAGGGCGUUGUUACACUUAAAAUAACAAUAAUUACAUGACAGGUUGUUUCCUUACCUCUGUAGAGGCGUGUCGGCCCUGACCGCUUUCCUCUUGAGCCUACCCAAUCCGGACGCCUGUGGUUGACGGGUCCCUAGGGGCUCGGCUCUGUGCUCCGAACAUCGCUUCUACAAAAACACGACGCUUCAGGGAUAAGGCGUGACAUCAGGAAAGAGUCCUCUUCGAAGGAUCGAUUCUUUGGCUUGGCUUACACGCGACGAGGGUAGCAGUCCAGGAUAAUUAGCAGUAAUAGCCACUGAGGCUCCGUCACGGCUUGCCCGGGAAAAUAUCCCGUUGACAAGCUCCACGGCCGCAUCUGGGUCUUCUUCGAGUCUUGGAUCCAGGGCCCUUUCGGGGUCCUCUGGCUGCGGGGAAGGGCUAGAGAUUCCUUCUACGGCCGUCCUCAGUUCCUGCUCGGAAAUAUCGAUGCAGGUAACUUUAGCAAAGAAUGCCACAAUAAGUGAAGCGAGAAAAUAAAUGACGACUUACCCAGUUUCGGGGAUUAUACAUGGAGAAUCCGUCUCGCGGUUUGAUAUGGAGGAAGUCUUCCUAUUCUCCUUUGUAUAGGUCGGACAGUAUCCUUGCCAGAGCGGUGGGGGAGUCCGGACCCUUAAGGCCACAACGGGUGGCAUUGUCUGUCCCGUUGAAGUGCCACAUGGGAUUGCCCCGAUAUUGAAGUGGUUGCACUCCCCGCAUUAUGCAUAUUGCCAUGACCACGACUAUCGUAAGUCCGAAUUUGGCCAGUAACUUUAUCCUGCUCAUCAGGAAAUGUAUUUCCCUGGAAUCCUCUUCUUGGGGGCCUCGGGGGCGCCAGCUUAGACGUGCCCUCGGUGGGGUGUUACUGAACUUGGAGAGUCCUGUCUGGACUUGAUCCGGAAGGGAAGCAUCGUCAAUAUAAAACCACUCUGAAGCCCAGUUAUCUGGUGCCUUCUUGGGAGUGCCGGAUAGGUAUCCGGUCUCAGCGAUACGCCAUACUUCGGCCCCGCCCACUUGACAUAGGGAUUCUCCCUGGUUGCGGAAGACAAGGCAGAACAACUUCUUCCACAAUCCGAAAUGAGCCUCACAGCCUAGAAAUAGCUCACAAAGGGCGACAUACCCUGCUAUAUGUAGUACGGAGGCCGGGGUAAAGUUAUGCAACUGGAGGCCGUAAAACUCCAGAAGCCCACGAAGGAAGGGAUGAAUAGGAAACCCGACGCCCCUUAACAGAUGCGGAAUUAGGCAUAUUUACUCCUCUGGAGACGGAUUGGGGGAUCUCUCCACUUGUUCUCCGCUGUUAUAGGUGGCCACUUCGGCUCGGACAGGGACCAUGAACGCCGGCGGGAGGAGCCCUUGUGUUUGUAACUUUAUCAAACGGCUAUGGGAAACUGAACACUCUCACCAGUCCCCUGGCUUGGGGAAAGGGGAGCGAGCAGAACAGCUGCAACGACAGGCCAUGUUGGAAUGGUUUUUUCUGGGCGCUCUAUUGGAUGCUUGCUCGAGGAGGGAGAGUGAGGUUUGGAUCUGGGAAUCCCCAUCUCUUCAAAUAGACGGAUAGCCCGAAGGACCGAGGGUGGCAAAUGCAAAAAUGCCUCGACUCCUCGCAUUCACUCGACACGUGGAAAUGGUCAUUAUUGAAGCACUGAAGCCGAGGAGUACAACAUUGAUGAGAUGUCAGACAAUGUUCGUCAUGAUGGGUACAUUAGAGUAUUCGGAGAGGGAACCCGCCUUGCAAUGCCGAAAACAAGACUGCGCACCGGACUCACCGUCAUUGAAGCCUGGUUCAGGGGCUACCGAGGGAGUCCUGGAUUCGGGGGUUCCGGAGAGCCGGACUAUAUACAUCAUUCGGACUAUUGAAGCGUGAAGAUACAAGACACAAGAUUCCGGCCCGUGUCCGGAUGGGACUCUCCUUUGUGUGGAAGACAAGCUUGGCGAUCCGGAUAUUAUAUUUCCUUCCUUGUAACCGACUCCAUGUAAACCCUAGCCCUCUCCGGUGUCUAUAUAAACCGGAGAGGAUGGUCCUUAGAAGGCCGAUCACAAUUACAAUCAUACCAUCAUAGGCUAGCUCUUAGGUUUUAGCCUCUAUGAUCUCAUGGUAGAUCUACUCUUGUACUACUCAUAUCUUCAAUAUUAAUCAAGAAAGAAGUAGGGUUUUACCUCCAUCGAGAGGGCCCGAAUCUAGGUAAACAUUGUGUCCCUUGCUUCCUAUUACCAUCAGCCUAAGACGCACAGAUCGGGACCCCCUACCCGAGAUCCGCCGGUUUUGACACCGAUAGGGCCCCUUAGAGGUUCUAACCAUGGAGCACGAAGGUCCCAAAAAUGCAUAGUUUCCCCUCCAAAGAUAACCUCCCCAGUUGGGGAACACAUUAUAUAUUUACCUAAACCUGUGGGUCCUUGAGCGGAUCCCACAUUAGCUCCAAGAUGUUGGUCUCUAACUAGAAGAGUAAAAGCUUGAGCUUGAGAAGCUUCUGGCCUAGUGGGUCCAUAAAACUCACUCAGAUAAGCUGUAUUAUUGAACAAUACAAAACAACAAGCGAUAAAACCAAAUACAGAUAAAGCAGCUAAACUAUAAGACAAGUAAGCUUCUCCAGACCAUACAAAUGCACGGCGAGCCCAUGCGAAGGGUUGAGUUAAAAUAUGCCAAAUUCCGCCAAAUACACAAAUAAAACCCAACCAUACAUGCCCACCAAUUAUAUCUUCUAAAUCAUCUACACUAACAAUCCACCCUUCUCCACCAAAAGGAGAUUUUAGUAAAUAACCAAAUAUAACACUGGGACUAAGGGUCAAAUUGGUAAUUUUUCUUACAUCUCCCCCCUAGGGGCCCAAGUAUCAUAUACACCACCAAAAUAAAGAGCCUUGAGUACUAGAAGAAAAGCACCUAGACCUAACAAAAUUAAGUGAAUACCCAAAAUUGUAGUCAUUUUAUCUCUAUCUUUCCAGACAUAACCAAAGAAUGGAAAAGAUUCCUCAAGAGUCUCGGGUCCCAGAAGCGCGUGAUAAAUGCCACCGAAGCCUAAGACUGCGGAGGAAAUUAGGUGAAUUACGCCAGAUACAAAGUACGAAAAGUAUCUAGAACUUCCCCCCUGGCCCUACUCCCCAACCUAGAGUAGCUAAGUGUGCAAGUAAAAUCAACCCUUGUUCAUACAUGGGCUUUUCUGGUAUGAAAUGGGCCACUUCAAAUAGGUUCAUUGCUCCGUCCCAGAAUACGAUUAAUCCGGCAUGGGCUACAUGAGCUCCAAGUAGUUUACCGGACAAAUUGAUAAGUCUGGCAUUCCCAGCCCACCAAGCAAAGCUGGUGGUUUCUUGGUCACGACCAGCUAAAACGAAAGUUCCAUUAAAGAGCGUUUCCACGUGGUAGAACCUCCUCAGAGAAUAUAAGAUUUUCAUGAGAAAGUCUCAAAUUCAGGAUCUUCCGCUGCACAGAUUUCCUGGGAAACAAAGUCAU
rnacentral:lncRNA from 1 species